UCUCUCUCAGGGCCACACCUGGAGAGUUUCCAGUACUCUACCAGUCUCAGCUAUGGGAGGGAGAGUCAAGCAGAGGCAUAUCCAUUCUGUUACUAGCUUGGGCAGUGGCUAAUGAGUAGAAGGCAAUCUGCUACAAGU